rnacentral:rRNA from 1 species
CCUACGGGAGGCAGCAGUGAGGAAUAUUGGUCAAUGGGCGCUAGCCUGAACCAGCCAAGUAGCGUGAAGGAUGACUGCCCUAUGGGUUGUAAACUUCUUUUAUAUGGGAAUAAAGUGCAGUAUGUAUACUGCUUUGCAUGUACCUUAUGAAUAAGGAUCGGCUAACUCCGUGCCAGCAGCCGCGGUAAUACGGAGGAUCCGAGCGUUAUCCGGAUUUAUUGGGUUUAAAGGGAGCGGAGGCGGGUUGUUAAGUCAGUUGUGAAAGUUUGCGGCUCAACCGUAAAAUUGCAGUUGAUACUGGCAUCCUUGAGUACAGUAGAGGUAGGCGGAAUUCGUGGUGGAGCGGUGAAAUGCUUAGAUAGCACGAAGAACUCCGAUUGCGAAGGCAGCCUGCUGGACUGUAACUGACGCUGAUGCUCGAAAGUGUGGGUAGCAAACAGGAUUAGAUACCCGUGUAGUC